UACGGAGGGGGCUAGCGUUGUUCGGAAUUACUGGGCGUAAAGCGCACGUAGGCGGACCAGCAAGUUAGGGGUGAAAUCCCGGGGCUCAACCCCGGAACUGCCUUUAAAACUGUUGGUCUGGAGGUCGAGAGAGGUGAGUGGAAUUCCGAGUGUAGAGGUGAAAUGCGUAGAUAUACGGAGGAACACCAGCGGCGAAGGCGGGUAGCUGGGCCAACACUGACGCUGAUGCGCGAAAGCCAGGGUAGCAAACGGG
rnacentral:rRNA from 1 species